AAAAAAUAAACAAUAAUUGAAACUCACACAAUUUUUUUUUUUGAAUAAUAGGCAACAAGCUGUAAUGUCCUCCAGCUUGGUUCUUUGGCCAAGUUUGACUAGAGAGCAUCCUGAUUUUUUUCAGGAAGUGGAGCCCACUCUCUGCCAUUUUACCCAUGACCCCUGUCAUGUCACCAGUGAAUUCCGGAUCUGGUAGGCUGUUCUUCUUUGAGUUGGAGCUGUUUUUAGAGAGCUUGGGCUGAAGGCAUCUUCUUCAAUCUUGAAAGCUCUUUCUCCUUGGAAGAAGUCUAAAGCUUGGACUUUGGAGGAAGGUCCCCUUCGCCGGCAAGCUUAGAGGUAGGUGUGUUGCUCUUGUGUUGGGAGUUUUGAUCUUGUGAGGUUGUUGGUGCUUUGAUCUUGAUUGCAUGCUUCUUCUCCCUUGUUUGAGGUGGUUUUGAUAUUCUUGUGUCUUGUUUGAAGCAUGACAGUAAGCAUGAUUUGUGUGUAUCACCUUAGUUUGUUUUAAUUAAUUAUGCAUGUGUGUAGCCUUGAUCUAGGAUAUGCAAUCGUGGUGUGUGUCUAUAAAUUUGCCUUUGCUUUUGUGGAUCUGAUCAUGUAAUCAUGCUUUGAAGUUUACCUUAUAUAUAUAGAUCCAUACAUCUAGUGUAUAAUUAUAGCUAUAUUCAUGUAAGGUUGUGUAUAUUUAUUUAUAGUGAAACCCGGGUAUACUCUGACUACUUGUGUUGAGAAAAUCCUUGCAUACGGGUGAUUUUCAGUUGUUAGUAUAUUGUGUAUUAAUUCCAAUCAUGCUUUUGAGCUAGAUGUAUUUAUUUAUUUAUUUGGAGAGUGAGUGUAGCACGGUGAAUGUAGGUACUGGAGUGUGAGCACACCUCUUUCAUUAAUUUUUUGGACCUUACUUUAGUUAACUUAUGGUAUCAAUAAUUCUGUAUGUUUGCAUUUGUGUAAAUCUGCCAUCUUGUAAAGCAUGCUAAAUUGUUGAUUGUAAUUAUGUUCUUAGUUGAUCUUUAAUUGUAUUUAUUGCUGGUAAGCAUGAGAUAUUGAUUUCUUUUUAGUAUUUGAUUUUCUGAAAUCUUCUAGACUCUAAUUGCGACUCUAAUUGCUUUACUAUGUUUAUUAUUUUGUAUCAUCAUGACAUCCAGAGUUAGCUUAUGCAAACACCAAUGUAAGCAUGCCUUGUUCAGUAGAAUUGUCUAAUUAUACGUGUGUGUGUGUAUACAUGUAUUUAAUUAUGCAUACUUAUCUGCAACCCUAGUAUGUCUCCUUUGUGCUAGCAAUUAAAUAUUAAAGCAUGGCUUCUUCGUAAACCAUUUAUAUUAGUUGUUAUUUACAUGUGUGUACAUAUUUUUGUGAUUGGUUGUUCUGAUUUUAGCUGUGGAAUCUUGAAAGUUUGUUGUAUAAAUUCAUGUUGGGUAAAGUUUGGGCUAUAGUUGUAAGUUAGGCAGAGCCCAAGAAUUAUUUCUAAGUGUAGUUAUUUUGUUAGAUUAGAUUAUUGUAGUGAGCCUUAGUUCGUGGGACUUGGUGAAUGCGACUUUAUAGCUCGGAGCCAGGAGAAGAUCAAGUCUAGGCUCGGGGUGUGUCUUAGAGUCGUAUUCUUGAUUUGUAGUAUCUUUAUGGUGAACUUAUUUGUGAGAGUAAGACUUGUAUCCGUCUGUAUAUUUUGGUCUAUAGACUGUUUGUAUGACUCUGUAUUUCUGUAGGGAUACUUAAGCUCAUACAUGUAUUAUUUCGGUUCCUAUCAUCUUAUUUGUAGUUCUGUAUUACUGUUCA